CCUACGGGCGGCAGCAGUGAGGAAUAUUGGUCAAUGGACGAGAGUCUGAACCAGCCAAGUAGCGUGAAGGAUGACUGCCCUAUGGGUUGUAAACUUCUUUUAUAAAGGAAUAAAACGAGGCACGUGUGCCUUUUUGCAUGUACUUUAUGAAUAAGGAUCGGCUAACUCCGUGCCAGCAGCCGCGGUAAUACGGAGGAUCCGAGCGUUAUCCGGAUUUAUUGGGUUUAAAGGGAGCGUAGAUGGGUUGUUAAGUCAGUUGUGAAAGUUUGCGGCUUAACCGUAAAAUUGCAAUUGAUACUGGCAGUCGUGAGUACAGUUGAGGUAGGCGGAAUUCGUGGUGUAGCGGUGAAAUGCUUAGAUAUCACGAAGAACCCCGAUUGCGAAGGCAGCUUACUAAACUGUGACUGACAUUGAUGCUCGAAAGUGUGGGUAUCAAACAGGAUUAGAUACCCGGGUAGUC
rnacentral:rRNA from 1 species